UACGUAGGUGGCAAGCGUUGUCCGGAUUUACUGGGCGUAAAGAGCGCGCAGGCGGUUGAUUAAGUCGAAUGUGAAAGCCCCCGGCUCAACUGGGGAGGGUCAUUCGAUACUGAUCGACUUGAAGGCAGGAGAGGGAAGUGGAAUUCCGGGUGUAGUGGUGAAAUGCGUAGAUAUCCGGAGGAACACCAGUGGCGAAGGCGACUUCCUGGCCUGUUCUUGACGCUGAGGCGCGAAAGUUGGGGGAGCAAACGGG
rnacentral:rRNA from 1 species